rnacentral:pre_miRNA from 9 species
UCUCGAUAGCGUAAAAGUUAACUCAUAUUUGCAUGGAGUUGGAACGUUUGCCGCUAGGGACGCUGUUCCAACUGCAUACAAAUUUGAGUUAACUUUUACGCUAUCGA